GCUGUGAUGGCCAAGUGGUUAAGGUGUUAGACUUGAAAUCCAAUGGGGUCUCUCUGCA
rnacentral:tRNA from 1 species